UACGGGGGGGGCAAGCGUUGUUCGGAAUUACUGGGCGUAAAGGGCUCGUAGGUGGCCAACUAAGUCAGACGUGAAAUCCCUCGGCUUAACCGGGGAACUGCGUCUGAUACUGGAUGGCUUGAGUUUGGGAGAGGGAUGCGGAAUUCCAGGUGUAGCGGUGAAAUGCGUAGAUAUCUGGAGGAACACCGGUGGGGAAGGCGGCAUCCUGGACCAACACUGACACUGAUGAGCGAAAGCCAGGGGAGCAAACGGG
rnacentral:rRNA from 1 species